rnacentral:rRNA from 1 species
AUGCAGUCGAGCGGUAGAGAGAAGCUUGCUUCUCUUGAGAGCGGCGGACGGGUGAGUAAUGCCUAGGAAUCUGCCUGGUAGUGGGGGAUAACGUUCGGAAACGGACGCUAAUACCGCAUACGUCCUACGGGAGAAAGCAGGGGACCUUCGGGCCUUGCGCUAUCAGAUGAGCCUAGGUCGGAUUAGCUAGUUGGUGGGGUAAUGGCUCACCAAGGCGACGAUCCGUAACUGGUCUGAGAGGAUGAUCAGUCACACUGGAACUGAGACACGGUCCAGACUCCUACGGGAGGCAGCAGUGGGGAAUAUUGGACAAUGGGCGAAAGCCUGAUCCAGCCAUGCCGCGUGUGUGAAGAAGGUCUUCGGAUUGUAAAGCACUUUAAGUUGGGAGGAAGGGUUGUAGAUUAAUACUCUGCAAUUUUGACGUUACCGACAGAAUAAGCACCGGCUAACUCUGUGCCAGCAGCCGCGGUAAUACAGAGGGUGCAAGCGUUAAUCGGAAUUACUGGGCGUAAAGCGCGCGUAGGUGGUUUGUUAAGUUGGAUGUGAAAUCCCCGGGCUCAACCUGGGAACUGCAUUCAAAACUGACUGACUAGAGUAUGGUAGAGGGUGGUGGAAUUUCCUGUGUAGCGGUGAAAUGCGUAGAUAUAGGAAGGAACACCAGUGGCGAAGGCGACCACCUGGACUAAUACUGACACUGAGGUGCGAAAGCGUGGGGAGCAAACAGGAUUAGAUACCCUGGUAGUCCACGCCGUAAACGAUGUCAACUAGCCGUUGGAAGCCUUGAGCUUUUAGUGG